rnacentral:rRNA from 1 species
UCGGGAAUUUUGCUCAAUGGACGAAAGUCUGAAGCAGCAACGCCGCGUGAGGGAUGAAGGCCUUCGGGUUGUAAACCUCUUUUCCCAGGGACGAUAAUGACGGUACCUGGGGAAUAAGCCACGGCUAACUACGUG